AUACAGAUUAAGAACAAGUUGGCUGUAACCAGUAGAUGGAGCUGUUGUAGAUACAAUGUCAUAACGUGUUGACAAUUGAUACAUGGAAGAAGAAAAAAACACUAAAAAAUCUUACAGCAUUAAUUUACAAGUUAUAACCAUUCAAGUGAUGUAGGUUUGGCAGAUCGAAUGAGUUUAAAUAAUCUCGAAGAUGUAAUAAAGCAAGGAAUCGCAAUAAUUCUAGAACCUCAGGUGAUUUUGUUUUGGAGCUUGACAUCAAAGGUCUGUGAAGAUUCCUCAAACGUUCCACAGACUAAAUAACAGCAAACAAGUUUGGAAUGACAUGAGGGUCAGGCGCAGGUUUCUCAUGACCUGGAACUGGAUCAGUCUCACCUUUUCCUAUGAUCCCAUCAUGACCUCUUGUAGAAACACCUCCAA